rnacentral:rRNA from 1 species
UACGUAGGGGGCAAGCGUUGUCCGGAAUCAUUGGGCGUAAAGGGCGCGUAGGCGGCGUUUUAAGUCGGGGGUGAAAGCCUGUGGCUCAACCACAGAAUGGCCUUCGAUACUGGGACGCUUGAGUAUGGUAGAGGUUGGUGGAACUGCGAGUGUAGAGGUGAAAUUCGUAGAUAUUCGCAAGAACACCGGUGGCGAAGGCGGCCAACUGGACCAUUACUGACGCUGAGGCGCGAAAGCUAGGGGAGCGAACGGG